UACGUAGGGUGCAAGCGUUGUCCGGAAUUAUUGGGCGUAAAGAGCUCGUAGGCGGUCUGUCGCGUCGGCUGUGAAAUCCCGAGGCUCAACCUCGGGUCUGCAGUCGAUACGGGCAAACUGGAGUGUUGCAGGGGAGACUGGAAUUCCUGGUGUAGCGGUGAAAUGCGCAGAUAUCAGGAGGAACACCGGUGGCGAAGGCGGGUCUCUGGGCAACAACUGACGCUGAGGCACGAAAGCGUGGGGAGCAAACAGG
rnacentral:rRNA from 1 species